rnacentral:rRNA from 1 species
AGAGUUUGAUCCUGGCUCAGAUUGAACGCUGGCGGCAGGCUUAACACAUGCAAGUCGAGCGGUAACAGAGAGUAGCUUGCUACUCUGCUGACGAGCGGCGGACGGGUGAGUAAUGCCUAGGAAUCUGCCUAGUAGUGGGGGAUAACUUGCCGAAAGGUAAGCUAAUACCGCAUACGUCCUACGGGAGAAAGGAGGGGACCUUCGGGCCUUUCGCUAUUAGAUGAGCCUAGGUCGGAUUAGUUAGUUGGUGAGGUAAUGGCUCACCAAGACCGCGAUCCGUAACUGGUCUGAGAGGAUGAUCAGUCACACUGGAACUGAGACACGGUCCAGACUCCUACGGGAGGCAGCAGUGGGGAAUAUUGGACAAUGGGGGAAACCCUGAUCCAGCCAUGCCGCGUGUGUGAAGAAGGUCUUAGGAUUGUAAAGCACUUUAAGUUGGGAGGAAGAGCAGUUAACUAAUAUUUGACUGUUUUGACGUUACCGACAGAAUAAGCACCGGCUAACUUCGUGCCAGCAGCCGCGGUAAU